rnacentral:rRNA from 1 species
GGAUGCGCUGCUUACCAUGCAGUCGAACGGCAGCAUAGGAGCUUGCUCCUGAUGGCGAGUGGCGAACGGGUGAGUAAUAUAUCGGAACGUGCCCUAGAGUGGGGGAUAACUAGUCGAAAGACUAGCUAAUACCGCAUACGAUCUACGGAUGAAAGUGGGGGAUCGCAAGACCUCAUGCUCCUGGAGCGGCCGAUAUCUGAUUAGCUAGUUGGUGGGGUAAAAGCCUACCAAGGCAACGAUCAGUAGCUGGUCUGAGAGGACGACCAGCCACACUGGGACUGAGACACGGCCCAGACUCCUACGGGAGGCAGCAGUGGGGAAUUUUGGACAAUGGGGGCAACCCUGAUCCAGCAAUGCCGCGUGAGUGAAGAAGGCCUUCGGGUUGUAAAGCUCUUUUGUCAGGGAAGAAACGGUAGUAGCUAAUAUCUACUACUAAUGACGGUACCUGAAGAAUAAGCACCGGCUAACUACGUGCCAGCAGCCGCGGUAAUACGUAGGGUGCAAGCGUUAAUCGGAAUUACUGGGCGUAAAGCGUGCGCAGGCGGUUGUGUAAGUCAGAUGUGAAAUCCCCGGGCUCAACCUGGGAAUUGCAUUUGAGACUGCACGGCUAGAGUGUGUCAGAGGGGGGUAGAAUUCCACGUGUAGCAGUGAAAUGCGUAGAUAUGUGGAGGAAUACCGAUGGCGAAGGCAGCCCCCUGGGAUAACACUGACGCUCAUGCACGAAAGCGUGGGGAGCAAACAGGAUUAGAUACCCUGGUAGUCCACGCCCUAAACGAUGUCUACUAGUUGUCGGGUCUUAAUUGACUUGGUAACGCAGCUAACGCGUGAAGUAGACCGCCUGGGGAGUACGGUCGCAAGAUUAAAACUCAAAGGAAUUGACGGGGACCCGCACAAGCGGUGGAUGAUGUGGAUUAAUUCGAUGCAACGCGAAAAACCUUACCUACCCUUGACAUGGAUGGAAUCCCGAAGAGAUUUGGGAGUGCUCGAAAGAGAACCAUCACACAGGUGCUGCAUGGGGUUCGUCAGCUCGUGUCGUGAGAUGUUGGGUUAAGUCCCGCAACGAGCGCAACCCUUGUCAUUAGUUGCUACGAAAGGGCACUCUAAUGAGACUGCCGGUGACAAACCGGAGGAAGGUGGGGAUGACGUCAAGUCCUCAUGGCCCUUAUGGGUAGGGCUUCACACGUCAUACAAUGGUACAUACAGAGGGCCGCCAACCCGCGAGGGGGAGCUAAUCCCAGAAAGUGUAUCGUAGUCCGGAUUGGAGUCUGCAACUCGACUCCAUGAAGUUGGAAUCGCUAGUAAUCGCGGAUCAGCAUGUCGCGGUGAAUACGUUCCCGGGUCUUGUACACACCGCCCGUCACACCAUGGGAGCGGGUUUUACCAGAAGUGGGUAGCCUAACCGCAAGGAGGGCGCUCACCACGUAGAUUCUG